AAUAUUGCACAAUGGGGGAAACCCUGAUGCAGCCAUGCCGCGUGUGUGAAGAAGGCCUUCGGGUGUAAAGCACUUUCAGUAGGGAGGAAGGUAGUGUAGUUAACACCUGCAUUAUUUGACGUUACCUACAGAAGAAGCACCGGCUAACUCCGUGCCAGCAGCCGCGGUAAUACGGAGGGUGCGAGCGUUAAUCGGAAUUACUGGGCGUAAAGCGCAUGCAGGCGGCCUGUUAAGUCAGAUGUGAAAGCCCGGGGCUUAACCUCGGAAUUGCAUUUGAAACUGGCAGGCUAGAGUCUUGUAGAGGGGGGUAGGAAUUUCAGGUGUAGCGGUGAAAUGCGUAGAGAUCUGAAGGAAUACCAGUGGCGAAGGCGGCCCCCUGGACAAAGACUGACGCUCAGAUGCGAAAGCGUGGGGAGCAAACAGGAUUAGAUACCCUGGUAG
rnacentral:rRNA from 1 species